rnacentral:rRNA from 1 species
GGGUUGUGAGGUUAAGCGACUAAGCGUACACGGUGGAUGCCCUGGCAGUCAGAGGCGAUGAAGGACGUGCUAAUCUGCGAAAAGCGUCGGUAAGGUGAUAUGAACCGUUACAGCCGGCGAUGUCCGAAUGGGGAAACCCAGUGCAAUUCGUUGCACUAUCGUUAACUGAAUACAUAGGUUAACGAGGCGAACCGGGGGAACUGAAACAUCUAAGUACCCCGAGGAAAAGAAAUCAACCGAGAUUCCCCCAGUAGCGGCGAGCGAACGGGGAGCAGCCCAGAGUCUGAAUCAGCUUGUGUGUUAGUGGAACGGUCUGGAAAGUCCGACGGUACAGGGUGAUAGUCCCGUACACCAAAAUGCACAGGUUGUGAACUCGAAGAGUAGGGCGGGACACGUGGUAUCCUGUCUGAAUAUGGGGGGACCAUCCUCCAAGGCUAAAUACUCCUGACUGACCGAUAGUGAACCAGUACCGUGAGGGAAAGGCGAAAAGAACCCCGGCGAGGGGAGUGAAAAAGAACCUGAAACCGUGUACGUACAAGCAGUGGGAGCACCUUCGGGUGUGACUGCGUACCUUUUGUAUAAUGGGUCAGCGACUUAUAUUCUGUAGCAAGGUUAACCGUAUAGGGGAGCCGCAGGGAAACCGAGUCUUAACUGGGCGUUAAGUUGCAGGGUAUAGACCCGAAACCCGGUGAUCUAGCCAUGGGCAGGUUGAAGGUUGGGUAACACUAACUGGAGGACCGAACCGACUAAUGUUGAAAAAUUAGCGGAUGACUUGUGGCUGGGGGUGAAAGGCCAAUCAAACCGGGAGAUAGCUGGUUCUCCCGAAAGCUAUUUAGGUAGCGCCUCGUGAACUCAUCUUCGGGGUAGAGCACUGUUUCGGCUAGGGGUCAUCCCGACUUACCAACCCGAUGCAAACUACGAAUACCGAAGAAUGUUAUCACGGGAGACACACGGCGGGUGCUAACGUCCGUCGUGAAGAGGGAAACAACCCAGACCGCCAGCUAAGGUCCCAAAGUCAUGGUUAAGUGGGAAACGAUGUGGGAAGGCACAGACAGCCAGGAUGUUGGCUUAGAAGCAGCCAUCAUUUAAAGAAAGCGUAAUAGCUCACUGGUCGAGUCGGCCUGCGCGGAAGAUGUAACGGGGCUAAACCAUGCACCGAAGCUGCGGCAGCGACACUAUGUGUUGUUGGGUAGGGGAGCGUUCUGUAAGCCUGCGAAGGUGUGCUGUGAGGCAUGCUGGAGGUAUCAGAAGUGCGAAUGCUGACAUAAGUAACGAUAAAGCGGGUGAAAAGCCCGCUCGCCGGAAGACCAAGGGUUCCUGUCCAACGUUAAUCGGGGCAGGGUGAGUCGACCCCUAAGGCGAGGCCGAAAGGCGUAGUCGAUGGGAAACAGGUUAAUAUUCCUGUACUUGGUGUUACUGCGAAGGGGGACGGAGAAGGCUAUGUUAGCCGGGCGACGGUUGUCCCGGUUUAAGCAUGUAGGCUGGUUAUCCAGGCAAAUCCGGAUAAUCAAGGCUGAGGUGUGAUGACGAGGCACUACGGUGCUGAAGUAACAAAUGCCCUGCUUCCAGGAAAAGCCUCUAAGCAUCAGGUAACAUCAAAUCGUACCCCAAACCGACACAGGUGGUCAGGUAGAGAAUACCAAGGCGCUUGAGAGAACUCGGGUGAAGGAACUAGGCAAAAUGGUGCCGUAACUUCGGGAGAAGGCACGCUGGUGUGUAGGUGAAGUCCCUGCGGAUGGAGCUGAGACCAGUCGAAGAUACCAGCUGGCUGCAACUGUUUAUUAAAAACACAGCACUGUGCAAACACGAAAGUGGACGUAUACGGUGUGACGCCUGCCCGGUGCCGGAAGGUUAAUUGAUGGGGUUAUCCGUAAGGAGAAGCUCUUGAUCGAAGCCCCGGUAAACGGCGGCCGUAACUAUAACGGUCCUAAGGUAGCGAAAUUCCUUGUCGGGUAAGUUCCGACCUGCACGAAUGGCGUAAUGAUGGCCAGGCUGUCUCCACCCGAGACUCAGUGAAAUUGAACUCGCUGUGAAGAUGCAGUGUACCCGCGGCAAGACGGAAAGACCCCGUGAACCUUUACUAUAGCUUGACACUGAACAUUGAGCCUUGAUGUGUAGGAUAGGUGGGAGGCUUUGAAGCGUGGACGCCAGUCUGCGUGGAGCCAACCUUGAAAUACCACCCUUUAAUGUUUGAUGUUCUAACGUUGGCCCCUGACCGGGGUUGCGGACAGUGUCUGGUGGGUAGUUUGACUGGGGCGGUCUCCUCCCAAAGCGUAACGGAGGAGCACGAAGGUUAGCUAAUCCUGGUCGGACAUCAGGAGGUUAGUGCAAUGGCAUAAGCUAGCUUGACUGCGAGCGUGACGGCGCGAGCAGGUGCGAAAGCAGGUCAUAGUGAUCCGGUGGUUCUGAAUGGAAGGGCCAUCGCUCAACGGAUAAAAGGUACUCCGGGGAUAACAGGCUGAUACCGCCCAAGAGUUCAUAUCGACGGCGGUGUUUGGCACCUCGAUGUCGGCUCAUCACAUCCUGGGGCUGAAGUAGGUCCCAAGGGUAUGGCUGUUCGCCAUUUAAAGUGGUACGCGAGCUGGGUUUAGAACGUCGUGAGACAGUUCGGUCCCUAUCUGCCGUGGGCGCUGGAGAAUUGAGGGGGGCUGCUCCUAGUACGAGAGGACCGGAGUGGACGCAUCACUGGUGUUCGGGUUGUCAUGCCAAUGGCACUGCCCGGUAGCUAAAUGCGGAAGAGAUAAGUGCUGAAAGCAUCUAAGCACGAAACUUGCCCGAGAUGAGUUCUCCCUGAGACUAUAAGUCUCCUGAAGGAACGUUAAAGACGAUGACGUUGAUAGGCCGGGUGUGUAAGCGCAGCGAUGCGUUGAGCUAACCGGUACUAAUGAACCGUGAGGCUUAACCUUACAACGCCGAAG